rnacentral:lncRNA from 1 species
CAUAAUAGGCAUAUUAAGCAGCAAGUAGCCAGGAGAAACCAGGGAUUUGAGAUCAUCAUGAACAAAAUUUAAAGUUACUUGAUGAAACAAGUGACACAUGCAUCUUGGCUCUAACAUCACAUUGAUAGAGUACUGAAAUCAUCCCCAAAAAAAGAAUGAACAAAAUAGUGACCGUGGAUGGAGUGGCUUAUCUUCACCUCGUGCUCAAUGCAUCCAUUGUCCCAGAUCCCGGGCUAGUCUUCGCCGCCGCCGCCGCCAGUAACCGCUGUAUCUUUUGAGCCCCACCUCCCAAUUUCAAUGCAAAAUGCAGCCAUCAUCUUGGAAUUCCUUGAUAAUAUCCCUGCCAAGUGCACCAUAUACAGCUACUCUAGUAUGGUUAAAGCAAUAAAGGAAGUUGGGUACCUUUUGUUGGAUGUCAUCCUUGGAUUCAGAUCCAAUUGAUCGAGCAGCUCUGUUGAGGGCAUUGUUGGUGCUUCCACCUCCUUGGACAUUCAAAGUAAGGCUCCAGAUUUUGUCUUCCGAACCUAGUUCAGAUUGUGAAUAAUGAGAGAAAAAACUAUCGAAUAUGUCGCCUUUCAUUUUCAGCAGUUUCCCUUCAAAUGUGAAUCCAUCAAUGCAUGGAUAUGUUUUCUAUUAACACCCAAUCUGAAACAAAGCUAACUAUAAUAAAUUAGAGAACACAAUUCAAUAGUUUUCAGUGAUGUUACCAAAGAAUUAUAUAAUGUUAUUUGAAAGCAUACAUCAUACCUUUACUGCAUUGGUAUUCAUAAUUAUUUGAGUGGCGAACUGAGCUUUAUUUACCUACUAUAUUUUUUUAUUCGCCAAAGCCUAAAAUAAUAUAACCUUGGCAAGACGUAUCCGUAAACCUGCACAACCUCAGGUUGUAGUUCUGCCUGAUCUAUCUCCUCCAACACCCAUGGUUAAAACUUUGAGAGUUAUAUAUUGAUCUUAACCGAUAGGAAAUAAACACAAUAACAAUGGACAAGAGCAUAGUGCAUUCAGUGCAUCACUUUAUGUUUAUACAAUGUACAUGAUGAUCAAGCGAGUAUCAUAUGUUGUAAGAACUAAAGCCUCUAACACAAGUUGAAUUUGAAGAUUGCAGAAAUCAUGAGAAGCAGAUUGAACUGAAAGUAAUUUAUAAAAAAAAUUGAAAACAUAAGUAAAAAAAUUGAAAACUAUGAGAAGGUAGUGCCUGGAGCCUCUAUGCUUGCUCUGUUUCGACUUCUUCUUGGACUAAAGAUGUUGAGUAACUUCGUGCCUGCACGUCAGUUCUUGGUGUUCGGCUCGCUGUCCAAGUUAGCGCCAUGGUCGGGGCCAUCGCCAGCGGCCGGAUGGCCGAGCACAUUGGACAGAAAGGGGUGAGAAAAUCUUGACCCCUCCCUCCCUCCGAAUGAAAAUUAAGAGUUGAGCUUGUAUUAGUCUCAAAUCUCAUGAGUUAUUUAAUUAGUUGCGUGUGGCAUUUGAUACGAUAAUCAGAGAAGAGAAAUUGGUGUUGCAGACAAUGUGUAGGUGAAGACUUUUUCUGAAAAGGUUCAUUAUUUUGUUCAUGUCAUAUGCUUGCAAGCUGCAACAAAUUAAUUCUUGACUACACUAAAGUUUUAAUCUUUUAUACUAUGGACAUGCCUACUGAAUUUUCAGUCAUUAACGAUGGUGGCGAUUCAGAACAUCAUCGGUUGGCUCGCCAUCUCCUUCACGAAUGUAUGGCAUGAUGCACCCACAUGUUUCCCAAGCUUAUUUUCUGCCAUUUCUCUUCUCGCGACGAUACGAGCUUCAUGCUUGCUAAUCGAUGUUUAAUCCACAUGACUCAUCACUUCUCUACAUGGGACGACUGCUUCAAGGAUUUGGUGUUGGUGUCAUAUCAUACAUGGUUUGUAAUAAAGUAUCUUCACUGCAUGAUUAUUCUGUGCCUAGGAUGUUCAUGACUUUAUGCCUUAAGGUUUUGAGUACUUCUCAGCUCGUUCAAAAAUGUUCAGAAACAAGAGAGCAACUAAUAUGUCAAUAUACUGGAUGCAGAAUGGUCCAGGGUUUAUUUUUUUGGAAAAGAUGGUUCAUUGUUUAUACCUACGCACCCCUACCAAAACUAAAUUAAUCUUUUGAAAUUAGAACAUUUUUACUUUGUGCUUGGGCCUCAGUGCAUGCUGAUUUUUAUGGCUUUAUGCUUUAAGAGAUUCAGUACUUCUCCAUCGUAUAUAACAACUUAUUUUAUUGCAAACAGAUUAUUGAGCUACUUAAUAGUUACAAUACUAACUCCUAUGUAUGAAUUAGGCAUGCGAUCAUACCAGAUGCCUGUAUACAUCAGAGCUCCUCAGAGCACAAGAGGAUCGCUUGGCUUCAUGAAAUCCUCAAAUGCAGAAUCAGCAAUAGCUAUGCAAAAGAAAAGAAGCACAGUCAGUAUGCUACAUGACAUGAGAACAACAGAUGACUACCUAAUCUAAGUACAACAUAAGUUUCGUAUAAAUAGGAUCGAAAUGAAUCAUAAUUAAUGGUUAUAGUCAAUAAAAUGCCAGAAUGAGUUAUAUUGACCAACCUAAGUACCCAAUAUUGUUACGUCCAUGAGACAGUGUGCAAUCAAAAUCAUGUGAUAGUUAACUAUUUCUAAUCCAAUAGAUUGUAUACAACACAGACUGAUAUUUUAGAUUCAAAAGAAGAAUCCAGUAUCAGAGGCUAUCUGAACUUACUUUUGAAUCACGCCACCGCUAGUCCACUGCCUCCUGAUGAUAACACCAUCAAUCAUUAGGUUGGUUUCCAUCCAUCAG